ACCGGGAUGGCUGAGUGGUUAAGGCGUUGGACUUAAGAUCCAAUGGACAGGUGUCCGCGUGGGUUCGAGCCCCACUCCCGGUA
rfam:Homo sapiens chromosome 6, GRCh38 reference primary assembly.